rnacentral:lncRNA from 1 species
CUCAGGGAUAUUUGCUUUCAUGAUUAAUUUUUUUAAUGAAAUGGAUGAUCCAAGGCUUUGAAACUAUUUUUUCCUGUUUAGAAUUUUGUUUUACUGUAGUCAUGUUUAUUGUGAUGGGUUCUGCUUGCAUUACCUAAUGAUGGGCCGAAUUGUUUAUCUUUAACAUAAUUGCUUCCACAGUCAUUACUAAAAACUGGAAAAAGUACAUUAGACUCCUAGUAGAAAUAAUAUGUUGCUCCAGGGUGAUAUGUGGGAAAAGAUUAUUACAGAAAUAUGCAUGCUCUAGAAAAAAGGACUUUUUUUGUAGGAAAAAAAAAAAUUUGUGGGCAGAGAAUGAAGCUGAACUUGGGUACAAGUUCGACAAAGUCAAAGCACAAGCUGGAAUCAAGAUUACUGGGAGAAAUAUCAACAACCUCAGACAUGCAGAUGAUACCGGCCUUACAGCAGAAAGCGAAGAAAAACUAAAGAGCCUCUUGAUGAAUGUGAAGAGGAGAGUGAAAAAGUUGGCUUAAAACUCAACAUUCGGAAAACUAAGAUCAUGGCAUCCGGACCCAUCAUUUCAUGGCAAAUAGAUGGGGAAACAAUGGAAGCAGUGCCAAACUGUAUUUUCUUGGGCAGAUGGUGACUGCAGCCAUGAAAUUAGAAGAUGCUUGCUCCUUGGAAGGAAAGCUAUGACCAACCUAGACAGCAUAUUAAAAAGCAGUGAUAUUACUUUGCCAACAAAGUUCAUCUAGUCAAAGCUAUGGUUUUUCCUGUAGUCAUGUACGAAUGUGAGAGUUGGACUAUAAAGAAAGCUGAGCACUGACGAAUUGAUGCUUUUGAACUGUGGUGUUGGAAAAGACUCUUGAGAGUCUCUUGGACUGCAAGGAGAUCCAACCAAUCCAUCCUAAAGGAGAUCAGUCCUGGGUGUUCAUUGGAAGGACUGAUGUUGAAGCUGAAACUCCAAUACUUUGGCCACCUGAUGCGAAGAACUGACUCAUUUGAAAAGACCCUGAUGCUGGGAAAGAUUGAAGGUGGGAGGAGAAGGGGACAACAGAGGAUGAGAUGGUUGGAGGGCAUCACUGGCUCAAUGGACAUGAGUUUGAGCAAGCUCUGAGAGUUGGUGAUGGACAGGGAAGCCUGGCGUGCUGCAGUCCAUGGGGUCGCCAAGAGUCAGACACAACUUAGUGACCGAACAUCUCUAAAUGUUUUUUUGAGUCCUUUUGUUGUUGUUUGUUUUUUGUGUGUAUAUGUUUGUUUGAGGAGAGGGGAUAAGAACUCUUAAUGUGAGAUCUCUACUAUCUUAAUUUUUUAAGUGUGCUCUAUGGUAGGUUUGAUAGGUGCUGUGCUUUACAGCAGAUCUCUAAACUUAUUCAUCUUGCAUAAUGGAAAGUUUAUGCCGAAUGAACAGCUCCCCAUUUUCUGCUCCUGGUAAUC